AUUGAACGCUGGCGGCAGGCUUAACACAUGCAAGUCGAGCGAGUGGCGAACGGGUUGGUAAUGCAUGGGAAUCUAGCUGAUGGAUGGGGAUAACUACGGGCAACUGUAGCUAAUACCACUUACCAUCGGCUGAGCCGGAGUGGGAUUAGGGAGGUGGUGGGGUAAAGGCUCACCAUGCCGACGAUCUCGAGCGGGUCUAAGAGGAUGACCAUCCACACUGGAACUGAGACACGGCCCAGACUCCUACGGGAGGCAGCAGUGGGGAAUAUUGCGCAAUGGGCGAAAGCUGAUGCAGCCAUGCCGCGUGAGUGAAGAAGGUCUUCGGGUUGUAAAGCUCUGGCAGUAGGGAGGCGUUACCUACAGAAGAAGCACCGGCUAACUCCGUGCCAGCAGCCGCGGUAAUAC
rnacentral:rRNA from 1 species